CUGAAGUAUUCCUCUCGAGAACUGUGCCCGCCGAAAUCUCCUCAGGAUUAACCGCCAAAUCUUUCUCUCAGCGGCUGAGUUCCUUCAUUCCAGCAGCGGCCGCCGGAGACUAAACCAACUCGGGCCGAAGUUUCAUACCGGAGUUCAUCAUGCUCCGUUUCCUUCUUCAACCACAAGAGAGCGACAACCAUCUGAAAAUCACUGAAGCAAAAGCGUUAUCAGUGACCUUUGAAAAUGAUGAAAGACACAGAACGCCUCAGGUCUCGCAAAGGAUCAUCUUUCAGAAGUGCCGUCGUGUCCUGUGGGCCAAGGCUCAUUUAAAAAUGACUGUUUCAAAGUGGAAAGUGUUCUAUGGUCAGACGAGUCCAAAUUUGACAGUCUUGUUGGAAAUCACGGACGCCGUGUCCUCCGGGCUUUAGAGGAGAGACCUUCCAGCAUGUUAUCAGCGUUCAGUUCAAAACCCAGCAUCUCUGAUGGUAUGGGGGUGCAUAAGUGCAUACGGUAUGGGCAGCUUGCUUGUUUGGAAGGCACUAUGAAUGCUGAAAGGUAUAUAAAGGUUUUAGAGCAACAUAUGCUCCCCUCCAGAUGACGUGUAUUUCAGCAGCACAAUGCAAAACCACAUACUGUAGCUAUUACAACAACAUGGCUUCACAGUAGAAGAGUCCGGGUGCUGAAUUGGCCUGCAGUCCAGAUCUUUCACCUACAGAGAACAUUUGGCGCAUCAUUAAACGAAAAAUACGUCAAAGACGACCACAAACUCUUCAGCAGCUGGAAACCUAUAUCUGGGAAACCUAUAUCUGGCAAGAAUGGGAGCAAAUUCCAACACCAAAACUCCAGAAACUCAUAACCUCGAUGCCCAGACGUCUUCAAAUUGUCUUGAAAAGAAGAGAUGCUACACCAUAGUAAACAUGCCCCCGUCCCAACUAUUUUGAGACCUGUAGAAGGCAUAAAAUUGUAAAAUUUCUCAUUUUAAACAUUUGUUAUGUUCUCUGUUUUCUACUGUG